GAGCGGAGAUAUAUGGAGCUUGCUUUAUUAACUUAGCAGCGAACGGGUGAGUAACACGUAGAUAAUCUAUCCUAUACUGGGGGAUAGCCCGAUGAAAGUUGGAUUAAUACCGCAUAUAGCUAUAUAGUUGCAUGAUUAUGUAGUGAAAGAUUUAUUGGUAUAGGAGGAGUCUGCGGCACAUUAGCUAGUAGGUGAGGUAAAGGCUUACCUAGGCGACGAUGUGUAGCCGGUCUGAGAGGAUGAACGGCCACAAUGGAACUGAGACACGGUCCAUACUCCUACGGGAGGCAGCAGUGGGGAAUAUUGCACAAUGGGGGAAACCCUGAUGCAGCAACGCCGCGUGAGUGAAGAAGGUUUUCGGAUUGUAAAGCUCUGUUAGCAGGGAAGAGGAAGGACGGUACCUGCAGAGGAAGCCACGGCUAACUACGUGCCAGCAGCCGCGGUGAUACGUAGGUGGCAAGCGUUGUUCGGAAUAACUGGGCGUAAAGGAUGCGUAGGCGGUUAAACAAGUUAUAUGUUAAAUAUAUAGGCUUAACCUGUAGAAAGCAUAUAAAACUGUUUAACUAGAGUGCAGGAGAGGUAAGUGGAAUUCCUAGUGUAGCGGUGAAAUGCGUAGAGAUUAGGAAGAACACCAGUGGCGAAGGCGACUUACUGGACUGUAACUGACGCUGAGGCAUGAGAGCAUGGGGAGCAAACAGGAUUAGAUACCCUGGUAGUCCAUGCUGUAAACGAUGGGUACUAGGUGUGGGUUGUGAAUAACAAUUCGUGCCGUCGCAAACGCAAUAAGUACCCCGCCUGAGGAG
rnacentral:rRNA from 1 species